rnacentral:rRNA from 1 species
GGGUGAGUAACACGUGGGUAACCUGCCCAAGAGACUGGGAUAACACCUGGAAACAGAUGCUAAUACCGGAUAACAACACUAGACGCAUGUCUAGAGUUUGAAAGAUGGUUCUGCUAUCACUCUUGGAUGGACCUGCGGUGCAUUAGCUAGUUGGUAAGGUAACGGCUUACCAAGGCAAUGAUGCAUAGCCGAGUUGAGAGACUGAUCGGCCACAUUGGGACUGAGACACGGCCCAAACUCCUACGGGAGGCAGCAGUAGGGAAUCUUCCACAAUGGACGAAAGUCUGAUGGAGCAACGCCGCGUGAGUGAAGAAGGGUUUCGGCUCGUAAAGCUCUGUUGGUAGUGAAGAAAGAUAGAGGUAGUAACUGGCCUUUAUUUGACGGUAAUUACUUAGAAAGUCACGGCUAACUACGUGCCAGCAGCCGCGGUAAUACGUAGGUGGCAAGCGUUGUCCGGAUUUAUUGGGCGUAAAGCGAGUGCAGGCGGUUCAAUAAGUCUGAUGUGAAAGCCUUCGGCUCAACCAGAGAAUUGCAUCAGAAACUGUUGAACUUGAGUGCAGAAGAGGAGAGUGGAACUCCAUGUGUAGCGGUGGAAUGCGUAGAUAUAUGGAAGAACACCAGUGGCGAAGGCGGCUCUCUGGUCUGCAACUGACGCUGAGGCUCGAAAGCAUGGGUAGCGAACAGGAUUAGAUACCCUGGUAGUCCAUGCCGUAAACGAU